AAGGUAGCCAUCCAUUCUCCCUAUCUCCCUGAUGUGCCGCCUCACUGCUCACUGGCACCACCGUUUCUAGCUCUUCUCUGUGAGAAAUUCCGCAACAGGAACUGACAAACGGCCAACCAGUAACCAGCUCAACUUGAAACCCAUCCCAUGGACAAGCACCAAUGCAUGACAUCGUUAUCGAUACUCUGUUAUGCUUGUAAACAGGAAGCUAGCAUAACUGUCCUCUAGCGGGCUCUACCUGUUGCCUGUGCUCUGGACUACUUGCUACCUGACGCCACGUGCCCUUGGGUGCUGGGGCUGAGAUGGCACAGAGUCAACGACACAGACUCUGGGAACAGAAACUAUUCAUUGAAAACGUGCCGCAUACUGAAGCAUUUACAGUUAGUUAAAUGAGUAUCUGUAAAUAGCAAAGUGAAUUUCACAUAUUGUGAUGAUUAUUUGUGGAGAGAAUUCUGCCUGGAGAACUGAUUGAGCAUGUGAAGAUCAAUGAAGACCUGAAGACUGUCCAUUGUCCUUCCUAAAAGCACACACGAGAGGACAGCGACUUCAAGUUCAAUCGGCACAGAAAAGUUAGCCAUUGGUCCUGUGUCCUGAUUGCCACGCAGCUCUGAUGGGCAAAGAGUCAUCCCUUUGGCCCUUUUACAAAUCCCUCUUUUAUUAAAUGAUGAGUAUUCUCC